rnacentral:lncRNA from 1 species
UUGUAUUGUUCGAGCGUCAACUCAGGUGGGUUCCCUUAGAGCCUUAAACUCUAGUUAGUUUAGCUUCAUUAGUUUCCCCAAAAUUUAAUGUUUCCCGAUUCAGUUAUGUACACUCUUGUCGAUAUUCUAGAUAAAUCGAUAUGGGGCGUUAUAAUUGGUAUCAGAGCAGGUUGAUUCAGUAUCGGACCUUGCCGCGGAUCAUUAAAGUUCAAUAAAAGUAGUACGGACCCUUUGGAGUCUAGACUGUUUACGCUGAAAUCAUCGCGUGCUGAGCCCGAUCAACUCAGUAUCGUGUAUGGUAGGCAGGGUAUUACGGUUGAGAACCGAAGUGGACCAAGGAGGUCGGGUAGUAAGAACAAGUAGAAGUGCAAACUCAGGUGGAAGUAUGAAUGGAGAUCGUUAGAAGCGGAUAUUGUAACUGCAUCAGUCGAUGCCACAAGAGUAAGUUGAGUAACGCCAACAAGUGGCGCGCAGGGAAUAAUAUAUGGCGUAAUACCAGUAGUAAAGAGGAAUAACGGGAAAUGCACGAAUCGGACGAGUGCAACUGAAGGUAGCUUUUGUAAGGAUCUAAAGGAUUUUGGGAAUGGAAAAGC